rnacentral:lncRNA from 1 species
CAUCUUGCCGCCGUCGUGCUGGGCUCCGGCGCCUCGCGUUCUCUAGGCGAGGACGGCGACGAGGCCGAGCGCGGCCACGGCGCACGCCGACGCGAUCGUCUGCACGCUGGUCCUCCCUGCCGCUCCCUGCAGUUCACGACACCCGAUGCAUUGACAGAUCAGUCACUGUACUGAGACAGUACCAUUGCAGUACAAAAAAAGAGAAAUGUUUGAUGCAGCAUUACUACUACUGCGCUGCUCCUGCAACAGUGCUAAUCUAGGUCACAUGACCUGUAUUUGUAGCCUGUACUAGUAUAGUGCUCGAGCACAUGGAACUUAUAAUUGUGUGGUAAAGUCAUCCUAGGUGAUUGUUAAUUAGGAUUACAGCUUUGGUGGUGUUAGGCAGCAUCAGCAGCAGCAGUAGUAUUACUGCAACGGAGGAUUAAAAGAAUAGAUGGUUGUGUUAAAUUAUUGGUGGGGGUGCGGCCGUGCAGAUUAUAAUACUGUCUAAUUGAUGAAAUGGUAAUAGUAAGUGACAGCUAUAAUUACUAGUGGUGCCAUGGACUGAUCUGGAGUUUUGAAAUGCUGCAUUAACUACUGUUUUGUCCGUUGUCCGUGUAACGGCAGGGCGCACAUGCUUGCCUGCCCGACAUGUCGGGUGCAAUUGGAUCUACGCUAUUUCACCACAAAAAGUUAGGUGAAAAUUUGCAAAAACAAUUCUGUUAGAUUUGUAGUACAAAACUGUACUUAAUUAAUGAGCACCGUAGUGUGCUAUAAAUCCCAAAUAAUCAUCGUACAAAAGAAGAGAGCCUAUUAUGUAUUAAUUAUAGUGUAAAAAACCCUUUGAUUAACACGCACAUUAAAUGCUUCCAUGCAUCUACCCAAUCAACCCAAUCAGCUUUAUGUACAUGCAGCUUGGGAUUUAUAACUCUAGUCUGCAGCUUGGGAUAUGUAACUCUAGUCUUACAAUGCUAAUUAAAUAGAUUCUUGGUUUUUUACCUGAUCUUAUAUGCUGAUUAAUUUGGAAUGGAGUAUUUAAUUACUCUAGGUCAAUACGCGCAGUGGUAGUAAAAAGUAAUUUCUUGGAGUGAAAAGUAGUGGUUAAGCUUUUGUUGCUAAGCAAAGCACUGAGCAGUAGCGGUUGUCACGUCGGUUAGUGAGACAAAUGCAUUGAGUGGGAAUGGGAAGCGUAC